rnacentral:rRNA from 1 species
GACGAACGCUGGCGGCGCGCUUAACACAUGCAAGUCGNACGAUGAUGCCCAGCUUGCUGGGCGGAUUAGUGGCNAACGGGUGAGUAAUACGUGAGUAACCUGCCCUUGACUCUGGGAUAAGCCUGGGAAACUGGGUCUAAUACUGGAUACUACCUCUUGCCGCAUGGUGGGUGGUGGAAAGGGUUUUACUGGUUUUGGAUGGGCUCACGGCCUAUCAGCUUGUUGGUGGGGUAAUGGCUCACCAAGGCGACGACGGGUAGCCGGCCUGAGAGGGUGACCCGGCCACACUGGGACUGAGACACGGCCCAGACUCCUACGGGAGGCAGCAGUGGGGAAUAUUGCACAAUGGGCGGAAGCCUGAUGCAGCGACGCCGCGUGAGGGAUGACGGCCUUCGGGUUGUAAACCUCUUUCAGUAGGGAAGAAGCGAGAGGUACCUGCAGAAGAAGCGCCGGCUAACUACGUGCCAGCAGCCGCGGUAAUACGUAGGGCGCAAGCGUUGUCCGGAAUUAUUGGGCGUAAAGAGCUCGUAGGCGGUUUGUCGCGUCUGCUGUGAAAGCCCGGGGCUCAACCCCNGGGUCUGCAGUGGGUACGGGCAGACUAGAGUGCAGUAGGGGAGACUGGAAUUCCUGGUGUAGCGGUGAAAUGCGCAGAUAUCAGGAGGAACACCGAUGGCGAAGGCAGGUCUCUGGGCUGUUACUGACGCUGAGGAGCGAAAGCAUGGGGAGCGAACAGGAUUAGAUACCCUGGUAGUCCAUGCCGUAAACGUUGGGCACUAGGUGUGGGGGACAUUCCACGUUUUCCGCGCCGUAGCUAACGCAUUAAGUGCCCCGCCUGGGGAGUACGGCCGCAAGGCUAAAACUCAAAGGAAUUGACGGGGGCCCGCACAAGCGGCGGAGCAUGCGGAUUAAUUCGAUGCAACGCGAAGAACCUUACCAAGGCUUGACAUUCACCGGACCGCCCCAGAGAUGGGGUUUCCCUUCGGGGCUGGUGGACAGGUGGUGCAUGGUUGUCGUCAGCUCGUGUCGUGAGAUGUUGGGUUAAGUCCCGCAACGAGCGCAACCCUCGUUCUAUGUUGCCAGCACGUGAUGGUGGGGACUCAUAGGAGACUGCCGGGGUCAACUCGGAGGAAGGUGGGGAUGACGUCAAAUCAUCAUGCCCCUUAUGUCUUGGGCUUCACGCAUGCUACAAUGGCCGGUACAAAGGGUUGCGAUACUGUGAGGUGGAGCUAAUCCCAAAAAGCCGGUCUCAGUUCGGAUUGAGGUCUGCAACUCGACCUCAUGAAGUCGGAGUCGCUAGUAAUCGCAGAUCAGCAACGCUGCGGUGAAUACGU